rnacentral:rRNA from 1 species
AUACGUAGGUGGCAAGCGUUGUCCGGAUUUAUUGGGCGUAAAGCGAGCGCAGGCGGUUCCUUAAGUCUGAUGUGAAAGCCCACGGCUUAACCGUGAAAGGUCAUUGGAAGCUGGGGAACUUGAGUGCAGAAGAGGAGAGUGGAAUUCCAUGUGUAGCGGUGAAAUGCGUAGAUAUAUGGAGGAACACCAGUGGCGAAGGCGACUCUCUGGUCUGUAACUGACGCUGAGGCUCGAAAGCGUGGGGAGC